rnacentral:rRNA from 1 species
UACGAACGCUGGCGGCGUGCCUAAUACAUGCAAGUCGAGCGGAUCUUGUUAGUAGCUUGCUACUAACUUGGUUAGCGGCGGACGGGUGAGUAACACGUAGGCAACCUGCCCACAAGAUCGGGAUAACAUUCGGAAACGAAUGCUAAGACCGGAUAAACAAUCUGGCCGCAUGGCUGGAUUGGGAAACGCGGAGCAAUCUGCGGCUUGUGGAUGGGCCUGCGGCGCAUUAGCUAGUUGGUGGGGUAAUGGCUCACCAAGGCGACGAUGCGUAGCCGACCUGGGAGGGUGAACGGCCACACUGGGACUGAGACACGGCCCAGACUCCUACGGGAGGCAGCAGUAGGGAAUCUUCCACAAUGGGCGAAAGCCUGAUGGAGCAACGCCGCGUGAGUGAGGAAGGCUUUCGGGUCGUAAAGCUCUGUUGCCAGGGAAGAAUAAGGAUGAGAGUAACUGCUCAUUCGAUGACGGUACCUGAGAAGAAAGCCCCGG